ACUUGCCCCUGUGUCCGAGUACCCCAUAAAAGGCGGCCAGCGAAGGCGAGAAUUCAGUUCGUCGGCAGCUGCGGAACGGCAAGGAUCACCACCUCUCUCUCCAGUGACCAGCACUUCAGCAAGUUGGACCGUCGUCGAAGUGUUGAAAGAGUAGGAGUUGGAGCAAAGCCAAAGAAGUUGCUCCUCCCUGCGCCUGUUCUCAUUACUGAUUCAUCUGAAGAUGAUGAUGAGAAUGGUGAUGAAUCUGAACCAGACCCCCAGGAUGUACCCCCUGCACCUGUAGUACAGCAGCCUCCAACAAUAGAGCAGCAACAAGCUGACACAGCUACACAAGUGGUCAGUAUACGGAUUAGCUAAGUCUUGUCAAUGUUCUAGUUAGCAUAUGUUGAUUAUGAAGACCUCUAUGUUGUGAUUUAAGGCCCUGUAAAUGG